GUCCUGGCAGUAAACGGUGCGCGUUUGGUGUGGGAGGAUUCGACCCCUCCUGUGCCGGAGCUAACGCGUUAAACGCGCCGCCUGGGGAGUACGGUCGCAAGAUUAAAACUCAAAGAAAUUGACGGGGCCCGCACAAGCGGUGGAGUAUGUGGCUUAAUUCGAUGCAACGCGAAGAACCUUACCUGGGCUUGACAUGUAUCUCUAAGUCGGUGAAAGCCGGCGAGUGUAGCAAUACACAAUUUACACAGGUGCUGCAUGGCUGUCGU
rnacentral:rRNA from 1 species